UCUAGACCGUGUAGACAUCUAUGGAGAUAAAAAAUGGUUGAGUAUUCCUUGGAAGAAGCUUCAGGUUGGAGACAUUGUGAAGGUGGCAUCCCAACAGAUAUCUAGAUCUUGGGGGUUAAAGGCAUAUAUAAAGAAUUAAUACGGUGACCAGACUAUGAUAUAAAUAGACUGUCUUGAGUAUCAUAUUAGAGAAGAACUAAAUAA